GAAAUGCGAUACGUAAUGCGAAUUGCAGAAUUCAGUGAAUCAUCAAAUCUUUGAACGCAAAUGGCGCUCUCGGGAUAGGCCUGAGAGCACGCCUCUUUGAGUAUCGAUUCUACCCAAUCCAGUGAACUUGUUUGUUUGCUGGGACAGUGAGUCGUUCACAAGCAAUUGUGCGACUUGAAAAAGAAUGGGUGCGAAGUGACGAUCAGUUUGACACUUUCACUUGUGAAAGGGUCUAGACUCCGUCAUCAACACAAAUGACUUGCUAGGUAAUUGGAUUCAAUUCCAACAAAACACCGUGUGCGAGGCAUUUGUUCGACGGUCGUUCGAACCACUAAUUGUUCAAUCACCCUCAAUCUAACUCACUACACCAAAUUUUGAAUUAGAUCUCAAAUGAAGCGAG
rnacentral:misc_RNA from 1 species